AUUGAACGCUGGCGGCAGGCCUAACACAUGCAAGUCGAACGGUAACAGGAAGCAGCUUGCUGCUUUGCUGACGAGUGGCGGACGGGUGAGUAAUGUCUGGGAAAAUGCCCGAUGGAGGGGGAUAACUACUGGAAACGGUAGCUAAUACCGCAUAACGUCGCAAGACCAAGAGGGGGACCUUAGGGCCUCUUGCCAUCGGAUGUGCCCAGAUGGGAUUAGCUAGUAGGUGGGGUAACGGCUCACCUAGGCGACGAUCCGUAGCUGGUCUGAGAGGAUGACCAGCCACACUGGAACUGAGACACGGUCCAGACUCCUACGGGAGGCAGCAGUGGGGAAUAUUGCACAAUGGGCGCAAGCCUGAUGCAGCCAUGCCGCGUGUAUGAAGAAGGCCUUCGGGUUGUAAAGUACUUUCAGCGGGGAGGAAGGGAGUAAAGUUAAUACCUUUGCUCAUUGACGUUACCCGCAGAAGAAGCACCGGCUAACUCCGUG
rnacentral:rRNA from 1 species